rfam:Loxodonta africana unplaced genomic scaffold scaffold_144, whole genome shotgun sequence.
GGUGGCAGAGUGGUUAAGCAUUUAGCUGCUAACCAAAAAGGUUGGCAGUUCUAAUCUGCCAGCCA